UAAUUAUAAAGGUGUUUCAUUGUUCUAUAUUUGAAUGAAAUGGUUUUUGUCUCUUUGAAAAAGAUACUUCAAAUUUGAAGGUCGACCAUGUCGUUUUACAUCCAUCGUAUCGUUAGGUAAACAAUUAAUCACACUCGUGAUCCACUGAAUGAAACAACGUGUCUGACGCGUUAUGGUCAUAUUAUCGAUUUCGAAUUUCCUGAAUGGAACAAAUAUCACAUUUUCUAGUUAUCUCUCUUUCUUCUAUUUCUCUUGCUUGAAGAUAAGCUGCCUCCUGCAAACAACCAACACACAUUCGGGGAGUCUUAAGCGUAGACCAGAUGAACGAUACAGCGGGAAGUUUCUUCAUACUGUAAGCCGUGGAUUUGCGAACUCGAGAAACCACUCGCGUGCCGUGGAGAACCUUAGCAAUCGUGUGAACCUGAUUUCCGGUAACCUAAAUUCUCGUGUUUUCACGACAAUCAGAGAAACCACGACAUAUUAUUCUAUAUCCGUCAUAAUCUCUAUCGAUUGUUUAAGAACAGAUAGAGAAGCGUCCGGAGUAUAAAAUGUUUAAACUACACGUACGCAGAUUAUUUUAUUCGAUGGAGAAAUAAAACUUGGCCGGAUAUAAUCGAUAAAACUUUCUUUCGCGUUUAACUCAUUAAACGGUGGUUCGUCAUAUAUCACAAAUGAUAAUUCGUUGGUAGGUAAAGACCUACGAAGGUGCAGUCUAAGCUGAGGUGGAAAUAGCCCUUACCGUGACCGCAGAUCGUAAUUAGCUGCGAGUAUGUCAAGCUGAUACCCAGUAAGACCAACCUAGGCAUCUUGUUAUAGAUUAGGAGCAACUAAUGCGUGUGCAGUGGAAGGCGUGUCAGCCAUAACGACCAAUGGCUAUGAAAUGCAAGCUACCGAGAAGCUCUGCGACGAUAAUGUCGAAGAAAAUCGAAGAUACAAUCCUCGUGGAAUUAGCUCUCCCUGCGCACAAAACUGGUAACAGCGAGAGACCGAGUACGAUGAAAGCAACGAAAGAAAAUGCUAGAAAAAAUGAAAAAACUAAUUCGUCAGAAAUAAUUGACAGAAAUCUAAGUUCACUAAGGAUAUCGAAGGGUCUAAGCAGAAAAUGGAUUUUAUUUAUGACAACUUGCCGAGAAAGCAUACGUACAUAUAACGAUUCGUCGCGACCACUGAUUACCAGUUUUUCCUCGACCCUUCCCAAGGAUAAGAGAUCUCCCAAUUUCUCUCUCUGACCCUUCCACCUAUUUUCACCCCGUCUCCAUCCCCUUUUUCUUAUUUAAGCUACCGCAUUCGUUCAUUUAAUCUACCUCUGUCUUAAUCUAAUUCUUACACAAUGUACGUGUGUUUAUGCCGCGUGUUUAUAGAUUGGACAACUUCCUAGUGUAAUAUCUUUAUGCUCGUUACGCGGUAUUAUGUAAUAAGUCGUGGAGAUAACCUAACUCGAGGUUAUAUCGAUAUCCAGAGUGGAACGUGUGGUAACUAAAUGAAAAAUUCCUUAUCACGGAACAACGUCGAUAUCGAGGUCGUUUGUUGCCACUGGCGAUAUCGACUCUGGUAUCGAAUUAUCGGCGUAACAAUUAGAGUACAAUGAGCAAUAUUUGGGAAAAAUUGUAUCCACGUCGACGAAAAAUAUAAGCAGGGGAAGAGGGGAAAUAUAACGAAUGUUUUAUCUGGCGAGAAUACGUUCGAUAAAUAACUUGAUACUGUUAAACAAAACGAAGUGACAUGUAGUACACCAUAAAAUACGUGAAAAUUGCUGCCACGUUUAUUAUGUCAGAAUUUAUAUGCGAGUUUGACACGAGCCCAACGACAGCGAACAAUAAACAUUAAACGCGCAACCAGUUACAAACUGGAAAUCGAACAAAAUUCGGAACGUUCUGUCGAAAAGACAGAUUGGAUCAAAUAUCGCACCCAUUUUCAAUUCGUCUCCGAAAAUAUUUCUGGAAUAAUAUUCCCAUAGGUAUUUCAGAGGCAGCAGCUGGUUAUUUACGCGAAGGCUUACAAACCGAGCGUGGACUACGUGGGUGGCAGAGGAUUUACAUGAGAAAUUUCGCUAUUUCUAUCCCUAUCCACCGUUUUAUGGCUUUCUCUCGCGUCGGAUCUAUAUUUUACGAUCGUCCGCCCGUUCGCUUCACAAUUGAACUUUCACAAUGGCCUUUUUCUUAAUGAUCUACAUCAUACGCACUAAUGCACUCAUGUUACAGCGCAACGAUGCGGUUAUAAAGUCAUCGAGUCAUUUAAGAAUAGCGCAGUAUCGCUAUUAUCGAAGUAUUAUUUAGGAAAACCCCGAUGAACUACAGUGGAGACUACAGGGGAAAGUGGAAAUGCUGACGGGUCGGAAAAGAUGAGAAAUCCUAAUGGGCCAUAUGACCAACCAAUAUGCUCAUGGCCCUUUAAGACAAUAGUACAUGCGCAUUUCCUCUACGCUCUUAUGCUGAGUUUCUCCGAACUGCCCAUACGUUUUAAAGAGACUCGAUCGCAUUAAGUUGCAAUUUGAAGCAAUCGAGUAGAAGUUGGCCUGAACGAUCUCUCGCACUACAGUAACUCGCGUGACGUAAGAAUGCAUCUUUAAUUAUUGAAGUUCGUUUUUAAUAAAGCUAAGAGGAUAAAUGGCCAACGCGUCAACGUAGCAAUGUGUAAAAAUUUAAAAAAGAGGAAGGAAAAUUCCGAGUAAUCAGAGUAAAUCAACUAAAUAUCAAAAUCUCCGCCGUUUCUUUGAAACGUAUAAAUGAAUAUGUAAGCGAAGUACUGUGCAAAUGCUUAGAUCAACUAAACAUGCUUUUAGGAUACACUCCCCUUAUAGUAUUGCUUAUUUAUGGUUUCUCUUGGCUCAUAAAUUUUUGAAGAUACUGCAGUAAAUAGAGCUCUGAUUUAAUAAUAAAUGUUGCAGAAUAUGUAUAAGGUUAUAUGGAGAACUGGAGAUGAGAAAUGGGAAUCAGUUCUGCGAAAUGAAUAAAGAAUAGCGGCAAAUAUAAGAACAGGAUAUUUCAAACAAUUUUCGCUAACAUUUCUAAAUAUACUAUUGCUACUCGUAUAGUAACUUGAAAUAUUUCUCGAAGUAUCAAUUAUUUGUAAUCACGCGACAUUAUUUGUAGACACACCCACCCCGAGCUUGUCUCCGUAAUAACACGAGAACGAACUUCGCUUGUUCUCUGGACUUGAGCUGCAACUAUAAAACAGUCACCACAUCUCUAGACUGGUUCCACAGUUAACAAACAGUUCGAGUAACAGAAGGAGUAAGAAGUCAAGUCAUCAGAGUCGCCAAGUCGAAAACAGUCAAUCGACAGAAUAACAAACGGUCAAUCGAGUCAAAAUCAUUCAUCACAAUCGCCAACACGAAACGAGUCUCAGGCCGUACUCACUCGUAGCUUGACAGUCAACAUACGCACGAUUGUAUCAAAUAUUGAAGUUAUUGGAUAGUUGCAAAUAUAUAUUAUAAUCUGUUAA